UACGGGGGGAGCAAGCGUUGUUCGGAUUUACUGGGCGUAGAGGGCGCGUAGGCGGCACCGCAAGUCGACUGUGAAAUCUCCGGGCUUAACCCGGAAAGGUCAGCCGAUACUGCGGGGCUAGAGUGCAGAAGGGGCAACUGGAAUUCUCGGUGUAGCGGUGAAAUGCGUAGAUAUCGAGAGGAACACCUGCGGCGAAGGCGGGUUGCUGGGCUGACACUGACGCUCAUGCACGAAAGCGUGGGGAGCAAACAGG
rnacentral:rRNA from 1 species